AUGUUUUAUGUAGAUGGCCAGCGUGUGGCGCUGUUUCCUGCUAAAAGUUGCCUUUUUCCUUUUCAGAAAGUUCUCCGAAUCUAUGGUAUUUACAUGGCUCAGUGGAAAUUUCCAUGGGCUGAACGACAUCAAAGAAGAACAACCCCGCUUCAGUCUUUCAACAGAAUAGAGCUUCAGUUUUCUGAGGAGCACCUGUGUAGGCUUCUUUUCAUGUUUAGGAAUGAAACUCAGAAUAAAAAGCUCUCUCUAUGUUCCCUGGAUCAUACAGUUCAAAGCUGAGCAGACGAGAGUUAAGUCUGGAGGAGGGGGAAAGCCCGGUUGAAGAAGAGAUCUGGAAGAGUCUGGCUACCAAAUUCUGACAACCCCGCAGGCAGAUGUAGAGGUGAGUACAGGUCAAGGCUCUAGCAUGGCUCGCUUCUUGGAUUUUCUCAAAAUGUUAAUUUUUAAUUUUUUAAAAUUAAUUUUAAUUUCUCUGGAUGUUAACUGCAGUUUCUGAGAGAAGAUGCAUGUUAUUGCAUCAUCCAGUGAAAGCAAUUAAAAGGAAACUGGGCACCAUAUGUGAGUUCCCUGCCCUCACGUCACUGUCCCCUAUAACCCAUAACCAAUGACCAUGGACCACACUAGGUUUAAAACUCAUAAAUGCCAUCGAACUAAAGUAUUGGCCUUCUCCAGUUUUAGAGUAAGCUCUCAAUUUGCUUUUCCAAGAGGGGAAUGUCAGAGAAAGAUUGUGUUUGCUUCCUUCACAGUUUAUCCUUAUCGAAUGCAGCUGAAAAGCCUUUAAAGAGACAAGCCGCUGGCCCCCAAAAAUGAGUCUAAGAGUGUCUUGGCUAAACGUUUUGGAAAAAAUAUAUCAAUAUGAUUAUUAAGAAGUAGAUAGGUGUGUCCAAUCUAUAUCAACACACAUACCUAAAAAAGGUACUUUAAACAAAAUGAAGUCAUAGAUGCUACUGAAAUCAAAGCUUCCACUCCAUUUUAAAUGGGGCAAGUUUUCUAAAUCAGUUCUCUCUCAAACCUGUCCGUGACUCACUUGCUCUAGGAUCAGGAGGUGUUGUUUCGAAGCUGAGAUUCCAGGGCUGCCUCACCUCAGAUAUGCUUACUUAGAAUCUCUGCACGUGGAGUCUUGGAGUGCACCUUUAACAAACCUCUCAGGGGCCUCUUAUUCUCUGCUUAAGAAAAAAAAAAGAAAAAAGUAUAAAAAGGAGAAGAAACUGAUAACCUAAAUCAAUUGCAAGGAAGAGCAUAGCUAACUUUUUGGAAACUGGGAAUGGGGCCUGGUUUUGUGUUUCUUCUGUAACCUGACUGAGAUGGACCACACAUCCUGGUCCAACUGUGUUCAUAUACAUAGAGACAAGAGUCAAUUAAGGCCCUUUUCUACUCUCUUUAAUAGAUGGGUGUUUUGUCUAUUUAAGUCCCACUGAAGUCAAUAUGAGGUUCAUUUCCUCUCCAAAUUCAGACCGUGAGGUCCAAUGUGGCUUUGAGGAAAGACAUACUAACUUUCUUACUAAGGCACCUGGACGAGUCCCACCCAUCCAUUUACCUGUCAUUCCUUCCAUACGUACUUCUGGUUCCCCUCUCAUGUGGUUGGUCUUCAGGAACGUAGCGUAUGGCUUACCCAGUCAUGUCAAAAGUUAGGGAGUCUCUGUGCCAGUUCAAAGGGUGAGCUGUGUAAUAGUCACGCGUAUGUGAGCAGAAUAAAAGUAGAUUUUGACUGUUAUUCUGACUUUACCAAAAUGCUUCCCUUUUCAAAGUUACUUUAGACUGCAAUUAAAAUAAAUAACAUGAAAAAAAGCCAGCACAAUCACAGAAGAUGUCUGUGAUAAUUCUAAAAGAAGAAAGCAAUGUAACCACAAGUAUUAUUUUAACAUAUGCAUAAUAAAGUAGCCCUGUGUGUUUAAUCCUAAGCUUUUUGUGCAACUCAGUAGAUGUUCUUUUGUGGUUUAUCAUAAAAUGCAUUUAUUCAUGGAAAUGAAUAUGUUAUGUAACCCAUAUAAGCAGAACACACGUCGCUUUUUUAAAAAAUGCAGUGAUCCCUUUGAACAUUUAGAAGCUGUUUUAAAAGCCCAGCAUGCUUGUCCCUGUGAUUUCGCUUUCUAGAAUAUAAAUUUCAUGAUAUAACGCGCAGAGUUAUAAAUCAAAGAUACCAUAAGAAAAUAUAGGCAUCAUAAUACCCUUACCUUCAUCAAGACCAGGUAUUUGCUGAACUUCAAAACUCAAACCCUGUGGGAAGGAGGCACUGCAGCUUUUGGAAGUGUUUUUAGUCAUUCCUGAAUGAAAGUGAUAACAUUCAGAAGACAAUCCCUGUAUUUAGAUGUCUCUCCUCCGUUGGUUGACCUAAGGCUCAGUGCACCUUCCUGCUUGGGGUCACCACGGUUAGCUUCUUUGCUCUUAGUCAAUACUGAGUAUGUUUAACAUUCUUUAAAAAGAUUUCCAUCCACAGUUCUGAGCAUCUUUUAAACAAACUUAUGAGUUCAUGUGAGCCCAUGUCUACAUUUUUUAUGUUUCCGGCUCACGUGUAGCAUUGUCACGCUAAAAGCUACAGGUGCCGCCGGCUAUGUAAUUCGUGGGACCUAGGGCGAGAUGAAAAUUCGGGGGACGGUGUUGAAAAUUAACAUCAGCGUUGUGACACAAGAGCAUCAAACAAGGUAUGGAUCCUUCUAAGGUCACACACCCAUCAGGCCAGCUCUGCCUACAGAACCUUUUGAACAAAACCACGCUGGCUUUUACAACUCAUUGGGAAACACGCUAAGCAAUUAAUUUUAUUGGCCUCGCUGAUGUAAACUAUAUGAAGAAAUACACAUGUAAGAUGAUGUAAAAGAAACAUGGGUGUAAUAGGAUAACUGUAGAUGGUUGUUGGUACCAUUGAACAGGAAGAUCUCAAAAUCUCAGAGUGGAAAAUCUGCAGAGUUUUAGGGGGACAGGAUUGGAGGUUGGGAGAAGCCACGGGCUCUGUGGGAAGAAGACCCCAGCUUCGCGCGGUAUCUUUGAGCAGGUGGCGUGCAUCUAGACGCUCCGGCUACACUUAGUGGUGUAUUUAGGGAGAUACUGCGUUUUGGAAUGUGCGAGGGCAAUUCUGCACGAGAACGUGGCAGUGCCAGUUCAUGGGAGUAUCAGUCAGUUGCCCCGCAUCCGAAUGAGUGUGCGUGAGUCUUUUGGACUCUGUUGCGUUACAUAAGUAUCCCCAAGUUUGGAGCACAGCCGUCCUCACAUCCCAGCCCUCUGUAGGCUCUCCUACCGGCAGGGGGCUGGAGCACAGUCACUUCCCAGUGGAGCUCAGGGCAGUACAGAGCUUUGUUAGGGGUGGUGUAGCAUAGACGCUGCUGCGUCUCUUCCUCUGGUGGGGCCCUAGCUGGGGAUGGAGAACGCGUGUGGUGAAAGAGCAUUGGAAGAGAGUACAAGAGGGGACGGUGCAGCAAUUUUGCUGCUGAAAAGGCCAAAUCAAAAGACUUGGGCCAAAGACAAGGAGAAGAGCGGAGGAAAGGUUUGUCUUGAAUAAGUCACUCAGGCUGGGCGGGUAGUGCUUACUAGAACAACACACACCUGAGGAAACCAGGGGGCGGGGGGGGGGUGGGGGGGGGGUGGGUCUAUGGAACAACACACACCUGAGGAAACCAGGAGGGUCUAUGAGCUGCCCGCUCAGAUCGGUUUCCACGGGACAACAGGAAGGAGGGAAGGAAAGGAUUGGAGGAAGGUCUGAAUGGAGGGAGGAAAAAGAGAGGGAAGUAGGAAGGAAGGGAGGAAGAGAGGAAGGGAAUGAAGGAAAGAAAGAAGGAACGAGGGAGGGAGGAUGAGGGACGUGUCAGUCAAAAGUCCCUGCCUGGCCUCUGUCUCGCCUUAUUACACCCACCACAGUCCUCUCACUUAGCUCUUUCCCACUCCUCGGGAAAAGGGAAAUUCAGAUAAGCGAAAGCGUGAGCGGAGCUGAGCCCGGGGUAGGAACCGGGGAGAAAGCCCACAGCUUAGGGGCGCUCCGUCCUUCCUUAGCCUGUUCCCAUGCCC
ensembl:lncRNA